rnacentral:misc_RNA from 1 species
GUCGAGUCAUGGUGAUGUACUAUAAGGAGCCGACAAUUCGCCUAUGUUCUUCACCAUUAGAAAGCAAUUCACCAUAGGUUUUGGACAGCGAAGGGUUGACUGCCAUGGGUGUAGCACAUGGCUUGCAAUCAGACAUCUUGGUGUGAGCCAAAAGAACAGUAAUGUAUUUUGAUUAAGUGAGCAACAAACCAUUCGGCAAGUGUGGAGCUUCAACUCCAAGAAAAAAAUGAAGAGAACCAAGAUCACGUACUGGAAAUACUGAUUUGAGCUUUGAUAAAAAUAAAUCAAGCUUGGUCAAAUCUGAACAGGUUGGCAAGAUGUCAUCAAUGUAUAUAAGAAUAAAAAAUUGAACAUCACCAGACCUGUAAAUAAAAAGAGAGGAGUCUGCUUUUGAAGCUUGAAAACCAAGUCCUUGGAG